UACGGGGGGGGGCAAGCGUUGCUCGGAAUUACUGGGCGUAAAGGGCGCGUAGGCGGGAUGGCAAGUCGGUCGUGAAAUCCCUCGGCUCAACCGAGGAACGUCGAUCGAUACUGCUGUUCUUGAGGAUUGCAGAGGAGACUGGAAUUCCCGGUGUAGCGGUGAAAUGUGUAGAGAUCGGGAGGAACACCGGUGGCGAAGGCGGGUCUCUGGGCAAUUCCUGACGCUGAGGCGCGAAAGCGUGGGGAGCAAACGGG
rnacentral:rRNA from 1 species